rnacentral:rRNA from 1 species
UGGGGAAUAUUGCACAAUGGGCGAAAGCCUGAUGCAGCAACGCCGCGUGAGUGAUGAAGGCCUUCGGGUUGUAAAGCUCUGUCUUUUGGGACGAUAAUGACGGUACCAAAGGAGGAAGCCACGGCUAACUACGUGCCAGCAGCCGCGGUAAUACGUAGGUGGCAAGCGUUGUCCGGAUUUACUGGGCGUAAAGGAUGCGUAGGCGGAUUUUUAAGUGAGAUGUGAAAACCCUAAGCUUAACUUGGGGACUGCAUUUCAUACUGGAAAUCUAGAGUGCGGGAGAGGAGAAUGGAAUUCCUAGUGUAGCGGUGAAAUGCGUAGAGAUUAGGAAGAACACCAGUGGCGAAGGCGAUUCUCUGGACCGUAACUGACGCUGAGGCAUGAAAGCGUGGGUAGCAAACAGGAUUAGAUACCCUGGUAGUCCACGCCGUAAACGAUGAGUACUAGGUGUAGGAGGUAUCGACCCCUUCUGUGCCGCAGUUAACACAAUAAGUACUCCGCCUGGGAAGUACGAUCGCAAGAUUAAAACUCAAAGGAAUUGACGGGGUCAUAGCU